rnacentral:rRNA from 1 species
AAACUUUACACUGCGGGAAACCGCGAUAAGGGGACCCCGAGUGCCAGCACCUAGUGUUGGCUGUCCUACUGUCUAAAUAACAGUGGUUAGCAAGGGCCGGGCAAGACCGGUGCCAGCCGCCGCGGUAACACCAGCCCCUCGAGUGGUGGGGAUGAUUAUUUGGCCUAAAGCGUCCGUAGCCGGCCGAGUAAGUUUCCCGUUAAAUCCAGCGUCUCAAGCGUUGGACUGCGGGAAAUACUGCCCGGCUAGAGAGUGGGAGAGGUAGGCGGUAUUC